rnacentral:rRNA from 1 species
UACGUAGGGUGCGAGCGUUGUCCGGAAUUAUUGGGCGUAAAGGGCUCGUAGGCGGUUUGUCGCGUCGGGAGUGAAAUCCACUGGCUUAACUGGUGGCUUGCUUUCGAUACGGGCAGACUGGAGGUAUGCAGGGGAGAACGGAAUUCCUGGUGUAGCGGUGAAAUGCGCAGAUAUCAGGAGGAACACCGGUGGCGAAGGCGGUUCUCUGGGCAUGUCCUGACGCUGCGGAGCGAAAGUGUGGGGAGCGAACAGG